ACUUUUAAAUUGAAGAGUUUGAUCAUGGCUCAGAUUGAACGCUGGCGGCAGGCCUAACACAUGCAAGUCGAACGGUAACAGGAAGCAGCUUGCUGCUUCGCUGACGAGUGGCGGACGGGUGAGUAAUGUCUGGGAAACUGCCUGAUGGAGGGGGAUAACUACUGGAAACGGUGGCUAAUACCGCAUAACGUCGCAAGACCAAAGAGGGGGACCUUCGGGCCUCUUGCCAUCAGAUGUGCCCAGAUGGGAUUAGCUAGUUGGUGAGGUAACGGCUCACCAAGGCGACGAUCCCUAGCUGGUCUGAGAGGAUGACCAGCCACACUGGAACUGAGACACGGUCCAGACUCCUACGGGAGGCAGCAGUGGGGAAUAUUGCACAAUGGGCGCAAGCCUGAUGCAGCCAUGCCGCGUGUAUGAAGAAGGCCUUCGGGUUGUAAAGUACUUUCAGCGGGGAGGAAGGUGUUGUGGUUAAUAACCACAGCAAUUGACGUUACCCGCAGAAGAAGCACCGGCUAACUCCGUGCCAGCAGCCGCGGUAAUACGGAGGGUGCAAGCGUUAAUCGGAAUUACUGGGCGUAAAGCGCACGCAGGCGGUCUGUCAAGUCGGAUGUGAAAUCCCCGGGCUCAACCUGGGAACUGCAUUCGAAACUGGCAGGCUUGAGUCUUGUAGAGGGGGGUAGAAUUCCAGGUGUAGCGGUGAAAUGCGUAGAGAUCUGGAGGAAUACCGGUGGCGAAGGCGGCCCCCUGGACAAAGACUGACGCUCAGGUGCGAAAGCGUGGGGAGCAAACAGGAUUAGAUACCCUGGUAGUCCACGCCGUAAACGAUGUCUACUUGGAGGUUGUGCCCUUGAGGCGUGGCUUCCGGAGCUAACGCGUUAAGUAGACCGCCUGGGGAGUACGGCCGCAAGGUUAAAACUCAAAUGAAUUGACGGGGGCCCGCACAAGCGGUGGAGCAUGUGGUUUAAUUCGAUGCAACGCGAAGAACCUUACCUGGUCUUGACAUCCACAGAACUUUCCAGAGAUGGAUUGGUGCCUUCGGGAACUGUGAGACAGGUGCUGCAUGGCUGUCGUCAGCUCGUGUUGUGAAAUGUUGGGUUAAGUCCCGCAACGAGCGCAACCCUUAUCCUUUGUUGCCAGCGAUUAGGUCGGGAACUCAAAGGAGACUGCCAGUGAUAAACUGGAGGAAGGUGGGGAUGACGUCAAGUCAUCAUGGCCCUUACGACCAGGGCUACACACGUGCUACAAUGGCGCAUACAAAGAGAAGCGACCUCGCGAGAGCAAGCGGACCUCAUAAAGUGCGUCGUAGUCCGGAUUGGAGUCUGCAACUCGACUCCAUGAAGUCGGAAUCGCUAGUAAUCGUGGAUCAGAAUGCCACGGUGAAUACGUUCCCGGGCCUUGUACACACCGCCCGUCACACCAUGGGAGUGGGUUGCAAAAGAAGUAGGUAGCUUAACCUUCGGGAGGGCGCUUACCACUUUGUGAUUCAUGACUGGGGUGAAGUCGUAACAAGGUAACCGUAGGGGAACCUGCGGUUGGAUCACCUCCUUACCUUAAA
rnacentral:rRNA from 1 species